GAGGAGGAAUUGGAAGUUUGUCAGCUUAGACCUGGUGUCAUUCCAUCAGUGUUAAACUUCCCGGCUCAUCUUGGAAGAGUACGUGCCAGAAAGACCACGACCAAGCAGCCUUGAGAUCUUAGGCAGCGUCUCCCUGAGACAUCCACCAACCACUGGAACACAUCUCCAAAGUUCUGCCGGGCCAUCUCAGCUUCCCCUCAGAAGAAGUGGCGCCACCUGCCAGAUGAAGGAGCCUUUUGAGAGGCAGCUGGCAUCGUGAUUGGACUGUACUUUGGUCUGUUCCAAUCCAGCUUCAGCUCCAGAGACGGCAGGCGGGACGAGUCAACGGAGGCCUGGUGGACGAAGGCAUGCAGCUGAGUACAAUCCAGAAAACAACAGAGGAGGAGUGCAGCAGACCAGGACCAGAACAAGCAGAGUAGCAUCGUAUGUCUCUUAGAAAACAUCAUAGUAUAGCCUUUGGGAUGAAAAAACGCCAUCAUAUACAUCGUAUAUUGUACAAAUAACAAGUCAAAGCAAAGAGACAUACAUUGUAGAAUUGUAGUAAUUGUGGGCUGACUGAUUUACUGAUUAUCAGUAUUUUAUUUUUACUGAUUUACGGUAAUAAAUACAUUUAAAAAUGGU